UACGUAGGGGGCAAGCGUUGUCCGGAUUUAUUGGGCGUAAAGAGCGUGUAGGCGGCCAUACAGGUCCGUUGUGAAAACUGGAGGCUCAACCUCCAGACGUCGACGGAAACCGUAUGGCUAGAGUCCGGAAGAGGAGAGUGGAAUUCCUGGUGUAGCGGUGAAAUGCGCAGAUAUCAGGAGGAACACCGAUGGCGAAGGCAGGUCUCUGGGCAUUAACUGACGCUGAGGAGCGAAAGCAUGGGGAGCGAACAGG
rnacentral:rRNA from 1 species